AUGGUUUGGAAGAGGAGCAAGCCCAGCCUUGCAGGAUGUGCAGAGACAUUCAACCUGCCUGCUUCUCCCAUGGGAGACAGGAGCAGUACCCAUGGGACAAACACCAGGAGAUGUCCAACUGCCUGGAAAAGGAGCUGCUUUGGUGACCAUCCCAGCCCUGAAAUCAGGAUGGAGCUGAGCUGGAGGAGUUAGAGGUCCUCCCCAUGUGGAACACCCACAGAAAGCCUCAGUGCAGGGAUGAGCAGGGAUGAGCAAGACCACAUGGAGAAGAAGUUGUUUGGCUGUUGAGCAAAGCAAUGAGGAAGAGGAUGUCCCAUGUCACAUCCAGAUGUUCCACUUCCAUCACUAAGUCACUGCAAGUGGUUGCUUUGGUUUUACUCAUGUGGAAAUGGAAAAGUAUGGAAUCCAAUGGUUCAGGCAAUAUUAAAAGGGAAAAUGGGAAAAGGCAGCUGGAAGUUAACCCUUGCUGGGGCUGCAUCUCCACACCACAGAGGAGGAGGAGGAAGAGGAUGAACCAGGAUGAAUCAGAAACAGGAUUCCUGGUGCUUUGUGGCUCUGCAGCAGCAGGAAGAAUGUGAAACUGAGAUGGAAGAGAGGAAGAAGAGGCGCAGUGUGGUACCCAAAGCAGAGCGAGGGGCAGGGAUGUGCCUUUAUGGUGGAUUUGUUAUUCUUUACUGAAAGGAAACAAGCCCAUUGACUCCUCCACACAUGCACAUGAGGUGCUGAGUGCUUUUCUGUGUCAGGUCCAAAUGGGAAACGUUGGCAGCGACUGGAAAACCACCUUCUGCUGGAUUCCUAUAGAUCCCUGGGGCCUGUCUAAUUGCAUCUGCA